CCGAGUGAGGGCCCUUUGGGUCCAACCUCCCACCCGUGUUUAUUUACCUUGUUGCUUCGGCGGGCCCGCCUUAACUGGCCGCCGGGGGGCUUACGCCCCCGGGCCCGCGCCCGCCGAAGACACCCUCGAACUCUGUCUGAAGAUUGUAGUCUGAGUGAAAAUAUAAAUUAUUUA
rnacentral:misc_RNA from 1 species